rnacentral:rRNA from 1 species
UACAGAGGGUGCGAGCGUUAAUCGGAAUUACUGGGCGUAAAGCGCGCGUAGGUGGUUGUGUAAGUCGAGUGUGAAAGCCCCGGGCUCAACCUGGGAACUGCAUUCGAGACUGCAUUACUCGAGUAUGGGAGAGGGCAGUGGAAUUUCCGGUGUAGCGGUGAAAUUCGUAGAUAUUCGGAAGAACACCAGUGGCGAAGGCGACUCGCUGGACAAGUAUUGACGCUGAGGUGCGAAAGCGUGGGGAGCAAACAGG